UGACGAGUAAGAGUCAACCCAUUUGUAGUAAUUGCAACCUGCUCCAAGUCCUUCAGCUGCUUGAGUUGCUCUAACGCGUCAAAUUAUAAGGAAGACCCACAGCGAAGGUUGCAGCGUUCUGUGACAGAUAUCCUAAGAUAUGUGUGCUUGCGUCCAAAUGUAUCUUGUAACAGAUGCAACUAUACUUACUCGAGUUGAUGUGUCCGCAAUUGCAGCAGCUUCUGUCGAUGCAUUUGCAGCACCACAAAGCUG